CUUUUAUUUAAAAAUAGUAACUCUCUAUACCUCCUCAAAAAGAAUCACUAUCGUUCUCGGUGAUAAAUUGGUUUUUAACUGCUUGUCUCAGAAGGCCCUUUUUGGGGAUGCAUCAGUGACUGGGGAGGUGACAACUCCAAUGUUUGGAGAUACAUUCCUCUGCCCCUGCAGCAAUGCUGUGAUCUCCUGGGAAGAACUGAUCAGGGAGGUGAGAGGUUUUCUGUGCCCUGGACCCAGGUAGAGGUGACAGAGGGAAAUCUGAAGUACCGGUUCUUGCUGAAAGGAUGAAGAAGCAUCUCCAGUUGCCCUUAAGACAUUUUUGAAAUGUACACAUCUGGGACUAAGGAAUGCAGCUGAGAGAUGAAGCCUUGCCUAGCACAUGCAAAGCCCUGAGUCUGGAUAUCCAGCACUGAAAGGAAAAGGGGUUGAAGAAGAGCCCAGUGAACCAUGUAGGCGAAGGAGGAAAACAAGGGGCAUGGAUUUUUAUAAUAGAAAAGGCCUCUUUCUAGACCUAGAAGUUAUCAUCUGUUUUUACCCAAGUGUGCUGAAACUUGGCUGUCCCAUGGCCUAGAGGGUUUUGACAUAUUUACCUAGAGAGCACUACCCAGCCUCUGGCUGAGGGUAGAACCUGGGGCCUGGAGCAUGCUAAGCAGUGCUCUAUCUCUGAGCUACAUCCCUAGCUCCCUUUCUAUUUUUACACUGGCUCCUGAGAAGUUGUCCAGCCAGGCCUUGAACUCAUCCUGUAGCCCAAAUAGGUUUCGACCCUGUGGUCUUUCUGCCUCAUUUUCCACAGUGGCUAUGGAUUGAUCAGGCCUGGUUCUUAGCACUUUCUGUCUCAGUGCUGGGAAUCUGAAGAUGAAAAUAAGCCAGAAUGGGUCCAGCCCAGAAUGGAACCGCUUCCAUUUUCUCCUAGGUGUCCUAGUUUCCUGAUGCAGUUAGCCCCCAAAGCCUUAAGAGGCAGCAGUGCUUGUUCAAGACUCCCUGCAGCAGCAUGCCUGACUCCGAGGCAAUCUGUUUCUUCUCUUGAGCUCUGGCUUCUCACCUGUCAAAUGUCCAUCUUAAAUCACACUCUUCCUGCAGAGCCUCCUUGUAAGAUCCCUUCUGUGAUGCAGGGCUGUAAAAGAGGCCAGUCCUGACCCCGAUCUCUUGCAGCACUGAACCCUUCCAGGAGCAAGAGGAAAGCCAAGCCUAAUGCUACAUACACCCUGUCCACACUCUUUGUCUGGUCCUUGGAAGGUUUCCUCUGGGUGACCAGCCUAGCACCUCUGUGUUGGAGUGACAAUCUAAGCAGUAACUGUCUCUCAGCCCUGGAGUCAGAGCAAGACAAUAGCAUAGUUGGGUCCUUCCUUCUGGGCUCUCCUAGGGAGAUGAUUUCCCCUCCCGGAUUCCUGGUGUGUGUGUGUGUGUGUGUGUGUGUGUGUGUGUGUGUGUGUUGGGGAAUGACUAUGAAGACUCAAAGCUGUUAGAGAUUUAUUUGGUGCCUUUACUUUUUUUGUUGUUGUUUUGGCCAAUUUGGAAAGAAAGAGGCAAUGACUCCUCUUUAUAAAACAAAACUAGGCAGGAAGUGUGCAGGGCCUGAGUGGCAGGGACUAAGGGUGUAAUUACAAGUUUUGUUCAGCAUUUUCAUGUAAUUAAGUCCAAAGGAAAUCGAGCUGCCUGUAUGUUGGGGCUGGAAGGCAAUCGGUGAGGAAUGGAUCUGCUUUUCAGCGAAGAGGCGGACUUCUCACCUUUCUUCUUAUUUUUAUAUUCGUUUUCCAAAAGGUAGCCUAUCAUUCAUCUUUUAUUCGGUGCCAUUGCGCUCUCCUUGGUGACAUUUCCCAGCCGUGCAAAGCCUUCUAGACACUGAUUUGCCUUUCCGCCCACUCUCUCCCCCUUCCCACUUUUACAUAUUGCCGAUUUCUGCCUGGUUGCUCACACAGUAUUCCCGCUGCAACAUUCAUAGCCAGCUUUCUUGCCUCCGGAGUUUCGAUCUCAGCGACUUCCGACUCCGCCAAGCCAAAUAGUCUCUCCUUUUGUUUUGGCCAGAGUCUGGUUUUCCCCGUUAUGCUUUAUAGUAAGUUCUACAGCGGCUGCCCCACCUCGGCUUUCUUUAACACUGCCUUGGUUUCCCUUUAUCGCAAGUAGAUUCUGCGCACACUCGCUGGGGGAUGGGGUCGUAGCGCCUAGAGCACGGCUUUGCAGAUGGUCCUAAACGGUGGGGCGCACGGGUUUCGUUCUCCUCCCCUCCUUUGAGCCUUCGGUGGCCCAGAGACGUGCCCUGGGCAUUGGGGACUGGCAGCAAGAAAGGAACCACUGUCUACUUACAUUCUUAAGGGCAGGAAACCUGACCCACCCCUAAAC
rnacentral:lncRNA from 1 species